UAUUACUUUGCAAAACCAAGAAAUUAUAUAAAAUGGACACAAUACUUUUUUUCUCAUCCUGAUCUUUUACUACUAUACUUCUACUUUCUGUUUGUUUGAAUUUGUGUAGUCUAGAUACUUAAUAUAUAUGAAAGGUUUUUUUUUCCUUAAAAAUGUUGUUGUUGUUGUUUUUAGCUGUAGGUGGACACAAUACCUUUAUUUAUUUAUAUGUGGUGCUGAGUAUUGAACCCAGUGAAUCACAUGUGCAAAGAAAAGGCUCCACCACUGAGCCAAAACCCUAGCCCCUUUACUGGAUUUUUUAAAAAAUGCCUUUAUUCUAUUUAUUCAUUUGUAUGUUCUGCUGAUGAUCGAACCCAGGGCCUCACAUGUGAUAGGCAAGCACUCUACUGCUGAGCUAUAGGCCCAGCCCCCCUUUACUGGAUUUUUUUUAACACUGUAGUGUAAGUAAUUUUCAUCUGGAUUGUGGCACAGUUCCACUAUUUCCUAUGUAUUAUAGGGUAAGUAAUGUCCCAGGAAUGUAAGUUAUAUAAGAUAUACAUAUAUUACAAAUGGCCUAACUGUAUAUUUUUCUUGGACACUUAAUUUGCUUCCAAGACUUCACUUUUGGGAAUAGGGUUGCUAUGGUUAUGUGUGUGUGCAAGUUCCUCUUCAAAAUUUAUAAUCCCCAAAUUGGCUUCCAUAAG
rnacentral:lncRNA from 1 species